GGAGUGAAAGGGGAAGAGCCCAGCGCUGAAUCUCUCGGUCUUAGGCCGCUGAGAACUGUAGCGUAUAGGUGUGACUGUCCUGCUAUAUUGCAUUUCCGAAGUCUCUUUGAUAGGGGCCAACAUCCAGAGAGGGUGCGAGACCUGUACGGAAAGUAGUAUAGUUGGUAUGGUUACUCCUUGGAGUCGGGUUGCUUGAAAGUGCAGCCUAAAGUUGGUGAUAAACUUCAUCUAAGGCUAAAUAUCGACGCGAAAUCGAUAGCAAACAAGUACCGUGAGGGAAAGUUGCAAAGAACUUUGAAGAGAGAGUUCAAGAGAACGUGAAAUCGCUGAAGUGGAACCGGAGAGAGUUAACAUAACUUGGUAGCUAUAUCCUCUAAAGUCGCUUAACUGUGGCUCUGGGGGGUGGACGCUACCUGUUGUUGCACUGACUGCGUUGAUUGUGCUUUCCGAACAGUAUAGUGUUGCCCACUUUGUGGUGUCUUGCUUUCUGGGAGGUUUGUCAUAAUUAACGUAAAGCCAAUUCCCUUUGGAGUCAGUGUGAAAGUUAACCACCUUUCCGACCCGUCUUGAAACACGGACCGAGGAGUGUAAUUUAUACGCGAGUCAAGGGGUGGUGAAAACCCUAGGGGCGGAAUGAAAGUAAAGGCCGGUUAACCGGUUGACAUGGGAUCCGCUCUUCGGAGCGGCGCACCAUGGCCCUGUCUUGUCUGCUUGCAGAUGGGCAGCGGUAGAGCGUAUAGUUUGCGACCCGAAAGAUGGUGAACUAUGCUUGAGCAGGACGAAGCCAGAGGAAACUCUGGUGGAAGUCCGUAUCGGUUCUGACGUGCAAAUCGAUCGAUAGACUUGGGUAUAGGGGCGAAAGACUAAUCGAACCGUCUAGUAGCUGGUUCCCUCCGAA
rnacentral:rRNA from 1 species